UGUACCCACUUAGAAGGCAGAGAAUUUAAGACGCCUAGUACAUUAGAUGGCACAAUUCCACAGCUUGCUGUUCAUGUAAAUGCCUGAACAUUCAGCCAAAAUCAGAUAGCAUAGUGUGGGGACCACAGGGUAGAAAGGGAGGGAGGAGAAUUUGGUUAAAGGGGGCAAAGUUUCAGAAUAGAGGAAUCAGGAGAACUAUGUCACUGACGGUUUGUCUGUCAAAGUCACUAAUAUAGCUGCUUUCGUGUUUCUUUCUGCUUUGAAGGGUGGAAACUGAAAUGGCCUAAUCAAUUCCUGCCCUGAGGAGUGACUGCCGCAGGAGAGAUCUCCAGAGUGCCAACUCCCUCCAUUCCAGGCUUCUGCAUCCGUCCUCCAGCUAUUGAGUCUGGGUUGCAAGUUUACGUCUUCUUCAGCGUACUCCAGCUCCAGCACUGCUGCUGUACCAAGAGGUGGUCAUAAGGCACAUCUGCCCAAUGGCCUGCUACCUCCGUUGCUUUGGACGUGCUUGUAGGACCACUCUCACUGAGUGGAAAACAGCUGCCUCUACAACCAGGAAUGCCUUUGUACCAACCCAGGCUGCUCAUCGUCUGGUCACUUUAACCACUUCAACUUAUUUUGAGACAGUCUUUUGGAAAGGACAGCAAGCAAGACCUCUACACCAGGAGGUGAGAAGUGCUGUCGAAUUCUUCUGUGGACACAAGGCAGUGGGCUGGAGGACGUGUGCCCUAGCUGGUAUGUCACUUGAAAUAGUGCACAGAGUACUAAAGGUUACAAACAAACCCUGUUUCCACAGGAUCUCCACCUGCAGGCCAGGCACAAGUCACAUGACUUCAUUCUGACCAAUCAGAGGAGUCCAGAUUGACUACCUGGUCUGAUUGAUUGAGUUCUUUCCAUUUAUCUAUCAGAACAAGUCUUAGGACUCAAGAUGGGUCACUGAGACAUUUGGUUAUCUGUCUUGGGAUUUGAAAGGCAGAGCUUUCACUUCAAGAACACCGGUAGUAGAGGCAGUGCAUGAAGCCACAAAUUCUGCAUAGGAGCUUCCAGUUCUCCUCAUCCAACACACAGAUAUAGUCUUCUUGGUUGCUGGCUUUCAUGGCUAGUCUUGCUCAUGGGUCCCC
rnacentral:lncRNA from 1 species